UACGUAGGGGGCAAGCGUUGUCCGGAUUUAUUGGGCGUAAAGAGCGUGUAGGCGGUUUUACAGGUCCGUUGUGAAAACUCGAGGCUUAACCUCGAGCUGUCGGCGGAAACCAUCUGGCUAGAGUCCGGAAGAGGAGAAUGGAAUUCCCGGUGUAGCGGUGAAAUGCGCAGAUAUCGGGAAGAACACCCGUGGCGAAGGCGGUUCUCUGGGACGGUACUGACGCUGAGACGCGAAAGCGUGGGGAGCGAACAGG
rnacentral:rRNA from 1 species